AUGAAUCUCAUAAGUUGGAACUGCCGGGGAGGGGGGAAUACCCCGACAGUUCGAGAAGUGGCGACUUUUAUUAGGUUGCAUUCCCCCGUGUUGGUGUUUUUGUGUGAAACACGACAGUCCAAGGAGAUAAUGAAAAAACAUCGAUCAAGGUUUGGAUUGAAAGGCUUUGAUGGUGUGCACAAAAUUGGUAACAGCGGAGGCUUGGCGUUGUAUUGGCAUGAAUCGGUUCUGGUUAAUGUUGUUUUUUCAAAUCAGAGGUGCAUAGAUGCUCAUGUUAAGCUAGGGCCGGAUGAAGAUACAUGGCGUCUAACUUGUGUGUAUGGAGAACCAAGAGUUGAAGAUAGACACAAUAUGUGGACACUCCUUAGCAACAUGAGCGCUCAAUCUGAUCUGUCGUGGCUCGUAGUUGGAGAUUUCAAUGAAUGUAUGUGGGACUUUGAGCACUUCUCAUCAUCGCCUAGGCCUCAGAGGCAGAUGCAAGCUUUUCGUGACUCAUUGGAGAAUUGUGAUCUUGCUGACUUGGGGUUUUCUGGAGUCCCCCACAUGUAUGAUAACAAAAGGAGUGGUAAUGGUAAUGUUAAAGUGCGCCUAGAUAGGGCGGUGGCUUCCCCGUCCUGGCGCAAUCUCUUCGAGCAACCGUCAGUAUGA
rnacentral:rRNA from 1 species